GGAGGGUACAGUUCAGUGGUAGAGUGCAAGCUUAGAAUGCAUGAAGUCCUGGGUUCGAUCCCCAGGACCUCUG
rnacentral:tRNA from 1 species